AUGCUUCAGAUACCUUCGUUGAAGAUGCGUACACUGCUAAUCCGGUACAUGGUUGAGAUUUUUGAUCCUAGCAAGGGCAGAUUCAUUGUACAAGACUUGGUUGGCGAAGUGUCUCUCGGUCCCGUGGAUGUUGAGUGCAUCUUGGCCUUGGAGAACCACGGACUAUCGGCAGAAGGUAUUCUCGAUGAGGAAGGUGAGGAUGUUAAAGAUCGAGUGCCGCCUUAA
rnacentral:rRNA from 1 species